GGACAAUAUUGGAACCUUACUACACUUGCCAAAUAAUGUAUUGUGCAUUGGACAGGAAGUAGAUUGUUUACAUAAAUUCACAUAAAGAUAUCAAAGCCACCGCCUGUUGACCCAUUCCACUAUACAUAACAGCACUGGAAGUGAGUGUCAGUUAUUUGGCUCAUAGAUGCAGUAUACAAUUUUGUCAGCCAAAAAAUAAUGAUUAUUAAUACAGAAGUCAUUGCUUUGCACUUUAGCUGUCUUGUCUCAAACCUUUUGUGCUGUUAUGGCCAUACAGCACUCCUUACUGUGCUAUAAUUAGUAUAUCUAUCAGUGCUGCUAUUCCAGUUGCUGUUCUGUAACAUAAUCUGUUCCCAUUCUCUCCUCUCCAUCAGUUCUCUCUUUAUCUCUGACUUGUUAAAUUUCAUCUCUCCAUUACCAUGACAACAUAUGUGAACAGCACACACACUGUUGCUGUAACUAACAGAAGGGUAUGAACAAGAUAAUAAAAGAAAAUUGAACAAUAUCAAUAUUAAUAUCACAGAAUCUUGUAUACAGCAGGAUGAAUGGUGGUGGGUCUACUCCCUGUGUCUCUCCAUGGUGUGGGGAGAAAUGUGAACUACUGAACUGUGAUGAAACUGAUUGCAAUGGAAAUGGAGUUUGUACUAAUGGAUCUUGUAAGUGUAAAGCAGGAUGGUUUGGUAGUCUCUGUGAGAAAUGUUAGUCAUUUUACUCCUCUUUAAAAAUGCUCUAUGAACUAUUUUUAUUUUUCCUAUAGCUUGUCCACAUAUAUGGUCCUGGUUGUGAAUACUCUUGUUAUUGUAAUGAUAAUGGAGUAUGUCAUCAUGUAACUGGAUCAUGUAUAUGUAAUACAGGAUAUACUGGACCACACUGCAUGGAAAGUAAUGCACUUAUAAUAAUAUAAGCACAAUUAUUUUUCAUCUUUUUCUCUUCAUUCAUUCCUCCUAUCAUCCUCUUUCUCUUUUUGUUCCUCUCUCUAGGAAUAUGUGUUUUCUAUUCUAAUCUUCAAUGCAGUAAUGACAUCAUUCCAUGUUGCUUCAGGAGAAACAGAGAGCCAUUUUGAAUACAAUUUUCUGUUUUGAUCAUCCACACUGAAGCUCUCAGCUUCUCAAUUACUGAUACAUCAUGUUGUGUUAUUCCUGGGAGCAGUAGCUAAAUCACAGCCAGUCAACAAGUGGUUCAAGCCAUUAAAUUAAUAAUGAAAUAUCAGAUCCAUCAUCAGUCUUAGGACCAGAGUUGAGUUCAACAUCUCCUGAUAAGAGGAGGAGGAGAAAUAAAACCAAAUAG